ensembl:rRNA 5S_rRNA 5S ribosomal RNA
GCUUACGGCCAUACCACCCUGAGCGCGCCCGAUCUCGUCUGAUCUCGGAAGCUAAGCAGGGUCGGGCCUGGUUAGUACUUGGAUGGGAGACCGCCUGGGAAUACCAGGUGCUGCAAGCU